AUUGAACGCUGGCGGCAGGCCUAACACAUGCAAGUCGAACGCGUGGCGGACGGGUGAGUAAUGUCUGGGAAUCUGCCUGAUGGAGGGGUGUAACUACUGGAAACGGUAGCUAAUACCGCAUACCCUCAGAUGUGCCCAGAUGGGAUUCGCUUGUGGGGGGGGUAACGGCUCACCAAGGCGAUUCUCCCUAGCUGGUCUGAGAGGAUGAACAGCCACACUGGAACUGAGACACGGUCCAGACUCCUACGGGAGGCAGCAGUGGGGAAUAUUGCACAAUGGGCGCAAGCCUGAUGCAGCCAUGCCGCGUGUAUGAAGAAGGCCUUCGGGUUGUAAAGUACUUUCAGUGGGGAGGCGUUACCCGCAGAAGAAGCACCGGCUAACUCCGUGCCAGCAGCCGCGGUAAUUC
rnacentral:rRNA from 1 species